GACGAACGCUGGCGGCGUGCUUAACAUAUGCAAGUCGAACGGAAAGGCCCUGCUUUUGUGGGGUGCUCGAGUGGCGAACGGGUGAGUAACACGUGAGUAACCUGCCCUUGACUUUGGGAUAACUUCAGGAAACUGGGGCUAAUACCGGAUAGGAGCUCCUGCUGCAUGGUGGGGGUUGGAAAGUUUCGGCGGUUGGGGAUGGACUCGCGGCUUAUCAGCUUGUUGGUGGGGUAGUGGCUUACCAAGGCUUUGACGGGUAGCCGGCCUGAGAGGGUGACCGGCCACAUUGGGACUGAGAUACGGCCCAGACUCCUACGGGAGGCAGCAGUGGGGAAUAUUGCACAAUGGGCGGAAGCCUGAUGCAGCAACGCCGCGUGCGGGAUGACGGCCUUCGGGUUGUAAACCGCUUUCACCUGUGACGAAGCGUGAGUGACGGUAAUGGGUAAAGAAGCACCGGCUAACUACGU
rnacentral:rRNA from 1 species